UUGUAUCACCGAGACACCCGAAGGGCCGGCCAUAUGUACCUCGGGAGCCCCGGCCCAUUCAAAUCAAAAUAGAACGAGCACCUACGACUAAGGGGAAUGGAAUGUCGACCACAGGGUGAGAGAAUCUUAUAAUACGAGGGCUAGUGACUGGUCAAGUCAUUAAACUUAGUCAUUUUGAUCAACAUGGCUGCAAGUGGACUGGGUUUAUGGGUUUAAACUGACUACGACCAAAG
rnacentral:lncRNA from 1 species